GAGACGAAGGGGCGGGACUGCGCGCCGCCGCGAUUCCCGUAACGCGGCUCCCCGCGUCCCGGAUUCCCGUGGUUGAGCCCCGGUCUCCUCUCCUAGACGAGAUCGAAGGCUUCCCCGCCGCUCCUCCGCGGGUGGCCGGGACGGAAGGUUCCAUUUUCCCCGAGGGUAAUGGGGUCUUGGACCGCAGCCCAGGCCUCAGCUGCCUCCCUGGGCGGUCUUCCCCGUGGGCCCGCGAGCCUCCGGAGACAGCCCGGAGGCCCUUGGGACUCCGGAGGCGAGGGAGCUCCCUGGGGACAGGGCAGGGCUUAGUGGCUGUGACUGCACACGCCAGUGGUGACCGCUCCAGUCCUAGGCUUAAGUAAACGAACCUUGCUACUGUGCUAUUUUUUGUUGCUAGUAAAUGAGUUUGGGUGUGAUUGAUUGAUCCGUGAGUCCCAGAAUUGGUGACCUGCCAAGAAACUCUUGUUUUUUGUGGUUUGCAUCUCCUGGUCUGUGAUUAGAAAUACCGCGGAAAAGCCAAUUUCAUUGUAACUCAUCACCCUCCCCUCGACUGGAAAAUGAACCAAAAGGCUCAUUUGUGUGUGCGUACACCCCGCCCCUAAGCAAGGAGAGAAAGGACCGGAAGUUGGUUGGAUGGACAGGUGUGUGGGAAGAGUUGGAGGACAGCAGAGAAUGUGGUGUAACACCUUGUUUCUAACUACGAUUGAUAAUAAGCACUAGUUUGUGGAAGAAAGGAUGGGAGAAGAAUGGGCGGAGGAGUGUCCUAUGACCCGCCCUCCAACUGUGUUUGGGAUGCAAUCAAAGAUCUGGGAGGCCAAGUGCCCUGUGUAUUGGGUAGCCAUUCCAACCUUGAUCUGGAAGUUCCAACCCCCAUUGAGGCUUCAGUAACUGUCACGCCUACAAGGCAGGGCCAAGGGAGGACCCUGAAGACCCAAGAUCCAGAUGUGCCGCCUCUCUUGGUUCCUGGACCCUGGAUGCUGGAGGUAGACAGAGCAAAGUUCUCCAGAGAACACCGCCGGACUGCGCUACAUCUUUCCCAGACCCUGCAACCUACCUAUCCCUUCAUUUGUAAGUUAUGCCGCUAAAUAAACCUCCCUUUUAACUAC